UUUCUAUAUCUUUUCAGGUAAAUGGAACGCUCCUAGCGUGUUGGUACGUCUGUAAGGGUUUACCGGUGCGAUUCGAUUUCGAAGAGAGCGGAUCUGCUUGCUUUAUGGAUUCUUGGGAUAUUGGCGAAUGCGACAACAGUAUGUGCGUUGAGAUCAUGCCUACAACAGUCGCCUCAUCCACACGACGGACUGCCAGGACCGAGAAAUCAUUUCCUCACGACCAAGGUCAGGUUUCUCUCUCACCAGGCACCAGGAAACACAAGUGCACAAGAGCUGCCAAG